GGCGGAUAAUCAAUUCAAGGGAUCCAUACCGAGGUCACUAUUAAGAAAUUCCCAGUUAAAUUUAUCAUAUACAAGAAACCCUUUGUUAACGAGUAGCUCAAAU